rnacentral:rRNA from 1 species
GAUGAGAGGACGGAGAAGGUUAAGUCAGCCUGGCGUUGGUUGUCCAGGUGGAAGGUUGUAGGCAUGUAUCUUAGGCAAAUCCGGGGUACUCUAUGCUGAGAACUGAUAGCAAGCUGUACUUGUACAGCGAAGUGGCAAAUACCCUGCUUCCAGGAAAAGCUUCUAAGCGAUAGUCAUAAAGAAAUCGUACCCUAAACCGACACAGGUGG